UACGGAGGGUGCAAACGUUAUCCGGAUUCACUGGGUUUAAAGGGUGCGUAGGAGGGCAGGUAAGUCAGUGGUGAAAUCUCCGAGCUUAACUUGGAAACUGCCGUUGAUACUAUCUGUCUUGAAUAUUGUGGAGGUGAGCGGAAUAUGUCAUGUAGCGGUGAAAUGCUUAGAUAUGACAUAGAACACCAAUUGCGAAGGCAGCUCGCUACACAUAUAUUGACUCUGAGGCACGAAAGCGUGGGGAUCAAACAGG
rnacentral:rRNA from 1 species